rnacentral:rRNA from 1 species
AUUGAACGCUGGCGGCAGGCCUAACACAUGCAAGUCGAGCGCGCGUCGGACGGGUGAGUAUUGUAUGUGGAUCUGCCCGAUAUAGGGGGAUAACUACUGUAAACGGUGUCUCUUAUCGCAUAUUGUCGUAUGAACCCCUAUGGGAUUAGCUAGUAGGUAAGGUAAUGGCUUACCUAGGCGACGAUCCCUAGCUGGUCUGAGAGGAUGAUCAGCCACACUGGGACUGAGACACGGCCCAGACUCCUACGGGAGGCAGCAGUGGGGAAUAUUGCACAAUGGGCGCAAGCCUGAUGCAGCCAUGCCGCGUGUAUGAAGAAGGCCCUAGGGUUGUAAAGUACGUUCAGUCGGGAGGCGUUACCGACAGAAGAAGCACCGGCUAACUCCGUGCCAGCAGCCGCGGUAAUUC